rnacentral:rRNA from 1 species
GACAGAGGCCUCAAGCGUUAGGCGGAAUCACUGGGCUUAAAGCGUGUGUAGGCGGACGCCUAAGUGUCUUGUGAAAUCCCACGGCUCAACCGUGGAACUGCUGGGCAUACUGGGGAGUCUUGGGCCAUUCAGGGGCAACUGGAACAAGCGGUGGAGCGGUGAAAUGCGUAGAUAUCGCUUGGAACGCCGAAGGUGAAAACAGGUUGCUGGGGAUGUGCCGACGGCUGAGACACGGAAAGCCAGGGGAGCAAACGGG